GCCCCGAUGGCGAAAUCGGUAGACGCGGGGGACUUAAAAUCCCCUUCCCGCAAGGGAGUGUCGGUUCGAGUCCGGCUCGGGGCA
rnacentral:tRNA from 1 species